GUGGUUUCUCUGACCAACACAAAAGUGGGAUGUCCGGCUUUUGCACUUGCCUCUACAAUGAACUUUCCGAUAUAUAUUACAAAAAGGAAGAAGAUGGAAUUUAAGAGAUGAACAGACAACCAUUGGGUUCCAUAGGAAACAUUUAUUCCAUCAGAAGAGAUGACGUAAGCAAAGACUUCAAGCCAUGUUGGUAAGAUACUCAUCUAUACUGGUGAACUUAAACUCCGGAUAGAGCUCACUAGCCUCCACACCAAAUGAAGGUUCGAUUUCAAAGUUUUUUGUACAUCCAUUGAUGAAAACAGCAUGUAGUAUGGACAUUAUAAGCUGUCUUAACCCAAAUGGAGCCUCUGCAGAAACAAACAGUUGAAGUCAAUACAACUAGCCCACGACAUGAUAUACUAUUGAAUUAUUUUGAGCUAAAAUGGUCUUAUUGUGUUUAUUGGUUGAGCUCACCUUGGAUGUUUUUGAGAAGUUGCUCCUCGGAAACAUAUGUUUUCUCAAGGGUCUUUCCAAUUUUGCUUUCCCAAAUGGAACCAAGUUCGUUGAAUGAAACUAUGUUGCCUUUGGGCCUGAAAAACAAUACCUUACCUUGUUCAAGGUACGCGGGUCAUCAAUUGCUUUAAUGGUACAAGAAGCUAUUUCCUCCUCUUUCACAAAAAUGGCUAGAUGGAAUGAUAAAAAGCCGAAAGUUGAUUAGAGGGCUUGCAAUGCCCAUCACAAUUAAGCAUUUGUAUAGUCCAUUUAGCAUUGGCAUGCUAUUUUUUUUUUAUGUAGAGUAUUUAAGAACCGAAGAUUGUACCUUUCUGGUUUCCAUCCCCAAGGAUGGUUAGUUUCUCUUUUGGGGCUGUGUCAGCGUCGAUUUGACAUAGUGUGGGUAAAAAGGAUCCGGCAGGACCAUUAGAUGCUACAAAAGUGUAUGGGAUUCCUGCUACUUCAAUGGCUCUACGGAUAGCUGCUUUUGCCCCAAAGGCGCUCUUUGCCGGCUCCACCGCAGUGACACGGUCGACGUCGGUGGUAAAUUCCGAAGGUAGAAAUCUCUGUUUUAAGUUUUCAAAAUCAUAAACUUAAGAAUUACUUGUAUGUUAAAUACAUAUAAGAUUCCAUUUUUUACCCUUAA